rnacentral:lncRNA from 1 species
AAAUUAAAGGCUGAACUAUUUUCUGAUAGUUUUUUUCUCAACACUUUCCCAAAGUUAUUUCCUUGAAUUUUGAAGUAUUUGCUAUCAUAUAAAAUAGGUGACCACCAUAAGAAAUAGGUUUUCAACUCUAUGUCCCACUUUUUCUUCGUUAUUUUGAAAACCACCCAAAUAUAGAACAAUCUGAAUGUCCAAUUAUUUUGACUAAGUUGGAAUAGGUAAAGGUAAAGGUAAUUUUUAUUUACCUUUGCUUUGUGAAACAAUAAACAUAAGCUCCGUAGAGCUUUUUAGCGACCCUUUUUCAAGAGCAGUUAAAUACACAGAGCUAACUUAAUUCUGUUUUACUGUUACAGUAAAUAAUAAUUAAAGACACUGAUUCUGGUGUGCCUGGUAUGUGGCCUAUGGGGAUGAUAAGGUCUGGUAUUGGAGAUUGGUACUUGAAAGUCAAUGGUUGAUCAUGAUGACCAUCUUUAAUUUAAUGGGGAAAGAUUAACCAAUAUUUGCAGCUGGAGAGGCUAUCACCACAGUUCAAUGAUUUAGGUAAG